rnacentral:rRNA from 1 species
GACGUACGCUGGCGGCGUGCCUAAUACAUGCAAGUAGAACGCUGAAGAGAGGAGCUUGCUCUUCUUGGAUGAGUUGCGAACGGGUGAGUAACGCGUAGGUAACCUGCCUUGUAGCGGGGGAUAACUAUUGGAAACGAUAGCUAAUACCGCAUAACAAUGGAUGACACAUGUCAUUUAUUUGAAAGGGGCAAUUGCUCCACUACAAGAUGGACCUGCGUUGUAUUAGCUAGUAGGUGAGGUAAUGGCUCACCUAGGCGACGAUACAUAGCCGACCUGAGAGGGUGAUCGGCCACACUGGGACUGAGACACGGCCCAGACUCCUACGGGAGGCAGCAGUAGGGAAUCUUCGGCAAUGGGGGCAACCCUGACCGAGCAACGCCGCGUGAGUGAAGAAGGUUUUCGGAUCGUAAAGCUCUGUUGUAAGUCAAGAACGGGUGUGAGAGUGGAAAGUUCACACUGUGACGGUAGCUUACCAGAAAGGGACGGCUAACUACGUG